GUGGCACUGAAUUUCUAAAUACAAGAAAUUGCUUAGACAAUUGGUUUAGUAUCUGUAUAUGGGCAAUACUCUGUCCUGCAGUACUGAAUCGCUGAGAAAAGAGACCAUGUUUCUACUUUUAGAAGGAGAAUGAAAUCAACGCAAAGGAGAGAGAAACAAGCAGCAUGUCAGCUGAAACACCAAUCACAUUGAAUAUCGAUCCUCAGGAUCUGCAGGUCCAAACAUUCACCGUGGAGAAGCUACUGGAGCCUCUCAUAAUCCAGUUACCACACUUGUAAACUGUCCCCAGAACCCUUCCAGCAGGAAAAAAGGACGUUCGAAAAGAGCCAGUGUCCUUCUAGCUUCUGUGGAGGAAGCAACUUGGAAUUUAUUAGACAAGGGAGAGAAGAUUGCCCAGGAAGCUACAGUUUUAAAGGAUGAGCUUACGGCUUCACUUGAGGAAGUUCGCAAAGAAGUGAAGCUCUGAAAGUAUCAGCUGAGAGAUUUACAGAUGACCCC
rnacentral:lncRNA from 1 species